GACAGAGGUGCCGAGCGUUAGGCGGAAUCACUGGGCUUAAAGCGUGUGUAGGCGGACUUCUAAGUACCUUGUGAAAUCCCAUGGCUCAACCAUGGAACUGCUCGGUAUACUGGUUGUCUUGAGCCACUUAGGGGCAGUCGGAACAGACGGUGGAGCGGUGAAAUGCGUAGAUAUCGUCUGGAACGCCAAAGGUGAAAACAGGUUGCUGGGGUUGUGCCGACGCUGAGACACGAAAGCCAGGGGAGCAAACGGG
rnacentral:rRNA from 1 species